rnacentral:misc_RNA from 1 species
GGCAAAUCCGUGGUUUCACAGGCUCCAUUGCAACGUUGAAGACAUGGCAAUAUAGUAAUCUGAAUACAACAAUUUAAAUUUCUUACAUAUCAUGAAAAAACUUGUACGUCCUGAUGUCUUCAACAAUAAACCUCACAGCACCAAUGCAACCCAGUACUGCCACAACUGAGAACCAAGUAGCUAUUGCAAAAUUAAGAAGCUGCAUUGGAACUUGAAAAUUAGUGUUUCUGGGCAUUCUUCCAGAUUUCAGAUACAUAAUAGCAGGGAGGACGAAAUCCAGUGGAGUGAACCCAAUGGCCCCACAUAUAGACACAAAGUCACCAAAAAAAGGCAUUGCUCCAGCAGUAAGAGUGAUUAGCACAAUGUAAAUGGAGGUAAAAACAAGACGAAUUAGGCAAUAUUUGACAGUGACGUGGUUAGCAGUUUUGCUCCACAGUAUCUUGUCCUCGAAGUAGGCAUAUGUAGGUCUGCAGUAUAUCUGAAUGAAGAAACUGAAAGGAUUGUUAUUCUACUUAUGCACGACUGAUGGUUGUCUGUCUAAUGGUUACAUGAGAAGCUGUCUGAUCACUAAGGGUACACUCUUGAACAUUCUAUACGAUCUCCAUUCAAAACUUAAGUGUUCAUGCAACGACUAGUUAAACGUUAUGCAAAAUUUAACACUAAAUUCGUAAAAAAUUUAAUGAGAUUACCUGAUAGCAUCCAGAUAUCUGAAUAACAGCAAAGAGAUUUGCCAUAACAAUUGUCCAUUCUGGGAUGGUUAGAGAUGCUACAAUGUAAGGCUGGACUUCUGAUCCAAAUGCCCAAUAUCCACAGAAUGCCAGUUGCCAGUAAGUCAAGAUAAUAACUACAUAUGCUGCUGAUACACCUUUAUACAUGUUCUUUUUUGCAGGCUCCCUUACAGUAUUCUGUAUUUCUGGAAGCAUUGCAUCCCCAAAUGAAAAGGCGAUUGCCCCCAGAGCAUUGAAGGCUUUAAAUGUCUUGAGAGAGGAGCUCCCUUGCAAACUGUAACUGACUAAAUUUCUAUCAAUCUUUCUUCCAUUGUAUAUUGUCACACCAAUGGUAGUACCAGCAAAGCCAAUUGUGCUUAACGUGCACAAUGCAUUUACCCAUCUCAAUGAGUGGAUAUUAGGGAGCUGAGAAAGAAAAAGUUCAAAUGCUCCAAAGAAAAUAAUGAAGUGCUGCAGAGUUAGUGUGCCUUCCUUGUGAUAGUAUUUGUACACUGCCUUAAGACUACUUCCAGCAGCAAUUUGGAUGGCAAUGUUAUUGCCUAAAGA